rnacentral:rRNA from 1 species
CUACGGGUGGCUGCAGUGAGGAAUAUUGCACAAUGGGGGGAACCCUGAUGCAGCAACGCCGCGUGGAGGAUGACGCAUUUCGGUGUGUAAACUCCUUUUAUAUGUCAAGAAAAUGACGGUAGCAUAUGAAUAAGCACCGGCUAACUCCGUGCCAGCAGCCGCGGUAAUACGGAGGGUGCAAGCGUUACUCGGAAUCACUGGGCGUAAAGGACGCGUAGGCUGGUUGGUAAGUCAGGUGUGAAAUCCUACAGCUUAACUGUAGAACUGCACUUGAAACUACCAACCUAGAGUAUGGGAGGGGGAGAUGGAAUUAGUGGUGUAGGGGUAAAAUCCGUAGAUAUCACUAGGAAUACCGAAAGCGAAGGCGAUCUCCUGGAACAUAACUGACGCUAAGGCGUGGAAGCGUGGGGAGCAAACAGGAUUAGAUACCCGCGUAGUC